GUGAACGCUGGCGGUAGGCCUAACACAUGCAAGUCGAACGGCAGCACCGUAAGAGCUUGCUCUUACGGGUGGCGAGUGGCGGACGGGUGAGGAAUACAUCGGAAUCUACUUUUUCGUGGGGGAUAACGUGGGGAAACUUACGCUAAUACCGCAUACGACCUACGGGUGAAAGCAGGGGAUCUUCGGACCUUGCGCGAUUGAAUGAGCCGAUGUCGGAUUAGCUAGUUGGCGGGGUAAAGGCCCACCAAGGCGACGAUCCGUAGCUGGUCUGAGAGGAUGAUCAGCCACACUGGAACUGAGACACGGUCCAGACUCCUACGGGAGGCAGCAGUGGGGAAUAUUGGACAAUGGGCGCAAGCCUGAUCCAGCCAUACCGCGUGGGUGAAGAAGGCCUUCGGGUUGUAAAGCCCUUUUGUUGGGAAAGAAAAGCAGCAGGUUAAUACCCCGCUGUUCUGACGGUACCCAAAGAAUAAGCACCGGCUAACUUCGUG
rnacentral:rRNA from 1 species